rnacentral:piRNA from 1 species
UCCAUGAUUCAAAGCCUGUCCAUAAUGUU